ensembl:lncRNA
AUUUAUUCUUCCCUUUGCUCCAACUGGCUGUGACCUUAAUUCAAGAGACUUGUAAGAAGUCCUGGAAAACCCACCAGACUUUUUUUUCUCUGAAAUCAGAAGCACUGUGCAAGCUCCUCCACCACUGAGACCAAAGGGUACACGUUCUGGUUAAAGACAACAGCGAUGACUGACUCCUGUUUACUAUCUGAUGACCCCUUCUAAAAUCUGCUGAAAUCCAUCUCCAUUGACUAUACUUGGCUUUGGAUCAAGUCGUUAGCAGAGAAGAUCUCCAAAGGCAGAUGGCAGAAUGAUGGAAGUACUGAAAGUGGAUAGCUAACCUCUCCACAUGGUGACAUCUCCUAGGAAAAGGAAGAGAGAAAGAGCUGUCUCAUCACUGCUCAAUUUCAGACCAUCCAGGGAAUCUUCAGUGAUAGGGAUCAGCCAUAAAGCAAAAAAUGGAACUGCUCUACAUGAAAGAGACACUGGGAAGAUUUCUUCUCUGGAGACAUGUUCGUGUUGCUUGACAAGACCAAAGGAAUGAAAAAGAACAGACUAAAAGAGUAGAAAUCCCAUGUGUUUAUGACAUCUUCGACACGAGACAGUGAAGCAACAUAUUUCCCACGAUACAGCCUGGUUGUAUUUAUGAGGAUAGUACAAAGCUAUUCUGUAUUAAGGUCUGGACACAACCUGUACUGGAACUAUGAUCUGAAUUAUAGUGUAGAAGAGGCCAAAGGCUUUCACUUACAUCUAGCUCUGUAUUCCUAUGGGAAAAACUAUCUACUGCAUACUGUAAUGAAUAUGAAGCUACCUAGCACUGCAUUCAUUAUCAUUUUUAACAAAUACAGACUAGAUUAAUGAGAUAAAACAAGGGGGAAUGAUACACUCCAACAUAUACAUCUAAACUCUAUCAAACAAAUUAAUGACACAAUAGACUUUGUGUUACAACUAAUUUACAUUUCAAUAUCCCACAUAUAUCCCCUCUGCUGACUGUGC